rnacentral:rRNA from 1 species
AGAAUCAACGCUGGCGGCGUGCCUAACACAUGCAAGUCGAACGAGAAAGGGGAGCAAUCCCUGAGUAAAGUGGCGCACGGGUGAGUAACACGUGACUAACCUACCCUGGAGUGGGGGAUAACUGAGGGAAACCUUAGCUAAUACCGCAUAAUACCUACGGGUCAAAGGAGCAAUUCGCUUCAGGAGGGGGUCGCGGCCGAUUAGUUAGUUGGCGGGGUAAUGGCCCACCAAGACGAUGAUCGGUAUCCGGCCUGAGAGGGCGCACGGACACACUGGAACUGAAACACGGUCCAGACUCCUACGGGAGGCAGCAGUGGGGAAUUUUGCGCAAUGGGGAAACCUGACGCAGCAACGCCGCGUGGAGGAUGAAGUACUUCGGUACGUAAACUCCUUUCGAUCGGGACGAUAAUGACGGUACCGGAAGAAGAGCCCGGCUAACUUCGCGCCAGCAGCCGC